CCUACGGGUGGCAGCAGUGAGGAAUAUUGGUCAAUGGACGAGAGUCUGAACCAGCCAAGUAGCGUGAAGGAUGACUGCCCUAUGGGUUGUAAACUUCUUUUAUAUGGGACUAAAAUGUUCCACGUGUGGGAUUUUGUAUGUACCAUAUGAAUAAGGAUCGGCUAACUCCGUGCCAGCAGCCGCGGUAAUACGGAGGAUGCGAGCGUUAUCCGGAUUUAUUGGGUUUAAAGGGAGCGUAGGUGGAUUGUUAAGUCAGUUGUGAAAGUUUGCGGCUCAACCGUAAAAUUGCAGUUGAAACUGGCAGUCUUGAGUACAGUAGAGGUGGGCGGAAUUCGUGGUGUAGCGGUGAAAUGCUUAGAUAUCACGAAGAACUCCGAUUGCGAAGGCAGUUCACUGGACUGCAACUGACACUGAGGCUCGAAAGUGUGGGUAUCAAACAGGAUUAGAUACCCCUGUAGUC
rnacentral:rRNA from 1 species